rnacentral:rRNA from 1 species
AUUGAACGCUGGCGGAAUGCUUUACACAUGCAAGUCGAGCGGCAGCGCGGGGCAACCUGGCGGCGGGCGGCGAACGGGUGAGUAAUGUAUCGGAACGUAUCCUUAAGUGGGGGACAACUAGUCGAAAGACUAGCUAAUACCGCAUACGAUCGAGAGAUGAAAGUGGGGGACCGCAAGGCCUCACGCUUUUGGAGCGGCCGAUAUCCGAUUAGCUUGUUGGUGAGGUAAAGGCUUACCAAGGCUAUGAUCGGUAGCUGGUCUGAGAGGAUGAUCAGCCACACUGGGACUGAGACACGGCCCAGACUCCUACGGGAGGCAGCAGUGGGGAAUUUUGGACAAUGGGGGCAACCCUGAUCCAGCCAUUCCGCGUGAGUGAAGAAGGCCUUCGGGUUGUAAAGCUCUUUUGUCGGGGACGAAACGGUUUCACCUAAUACGUGAGACUACUGACGGUACCCGAAGAAUAAGCACCGGCUAACUACGUG